rnacentral:rRNA from 1 species
CCUACGGGAGGCAGCAGUGGGGAAUUUUGGACAAUGGGGGAAACCCUGAUCCAGCCAUCCCGCGUGUGCGAUGAAGGCCUUCGGGUUGUAAAGCACUUUUGGCAGGAAAGAAACGUCAUGGGCUAAUACCCCGUGAAACUGACGGUACCUGCAGAAUAAGCACCGGCUAACUACGUGCCAGCAGCCGCGGUAAUACGUAGGGUGCAAGCGUUAAUCGGAAUUACUGGGCGUAAAGCGUGCGCAGGCGGUUCGGAAAGAAAGAUGUGAAAUCCCAGAGCUUAACUUUGGAACUGCAUUUUUAACUACCGAGCUAGAGUGUGUCAGAGGGAGGUGGAAUUCCGCGUGUAGCAGUGAAAUGCGUAGAUAUGCGGAGGAACACCGAUGGCGAAGGCAGCCUCCUGGGAUAACACUGACGCUCAUGCACGAAAGCGUGGGGAGCAAACAGGAUUAGAUACCCUGGUAGUCCACGCCCUAAACGAUGUCAACUAGCUGUUGGGGCCUUCGGGUCCUUGGUAGCGCNGCUACGCGUGAGUGACCGCCGNGGGAGGUACGGUCGGUCGAGAGUUAAACGUACGAAAGAAGUUAGAGGCGUUGAGACGNGCCGACGGACGACGACGAGGGAGGAGG